UACGGAGGAUGCAAGCGUUAUCCGGAAUUAUUGGGCGUAAAGCGUCCGUAGGUGGCCGUUCAAGUCUGCUGUCAAAGGCUGGGGCUUAACUCCAGACAGGCAGUGGAAACUGAAUAGCUAGAGUGUGGUAGGGGUAGAGGGAAUUCCCGGUGUAGCGGUGAAAUGCGUAGAGAUCGGGAAGAACACCAACGGCGAAAGCACUCUGCUGGGCCGACACUGACACUGAGAGACGAAAGCUAGGGGAGCGAAUGGG
rnacentral:rRNA from 1 species